AGUGAACGCUGGCGGUAGGCCUAACACAUGCAAGUCGAACGGCAGCACAGUAAGAGCUUGCUCUUACGGGUGGCGAGUGGCGGACGGGUGAGGAAUACAUCGGAAUCUACUUUUUCGUGGGGGAUAACGUAGGGAAACUUACGCUAAUACCGCAUACGACCUACGGGUGAAAGCAGGGGAUCUUCGGACCUUGCGCGAUUGAAUGAGCCGAUGUCGGAUUAGCUAGUUGGCGGGGUAAAGGCCCACCAAGGCGACGAUCCGUAGCUGGUCUGAGAGGAUGAUCAGCCACACUGGAACUGAGACACGGUCCAGACUCCUACGGGAGGCAGCAGUGGGGAAUAUUGGACAGUGGGCGCAAGCCUGAUCCAGCCAUACCGCGUGGGUGAAGAAGGCCUUCGGGUUGUAAAGCCCUUUUGUUGGGAAAGAAAAGCAGCAGGUUAAUACCCCGCCGUUCUGACGGUACCCAAAGAAUAAGCACCGGCUAACUUCGU
rnacentral:rRNA from 1 species